GAUGAGCAUGCGUCCCAUUAGCUAGUUGGUAAGGUAACGGCUUACCAAGGCUACGAUGGGUAGGGGUCCUGAGAGGGAGAUCCCCCACACUGGUACUGAGACACGGACCAGACUCCUACGGGAGGCAGCAGUGAGGAAUAUUGGACAAUGGGCGCAAGCCUGAUCCAGCCAUGCCGCGUGCAGGAUGACGGUCCUAUGGAUUGUAAACUGCUUUUGUACGGGAAGAAACACUCCUUCGUGAAGGAGCUUGACGGUACCGUAAGAAUAAGGAUCGGCUAACUCCGUGCCAGCAGCCGCGGUAAUACGGAGGAUCCAAGCGUUAUCCGGAAUCAUUGGGUUUAAAGGGUCCGUAGGCGGUUUAGUAAGUCAGUGGUGAAAGCCCAUCGCUCAACGGUGGAACGGCCAUUGAUACUGCUAGACUUGAAUUAUUAGGAAGUAACUAGAAUAUGUAGUGUAGCGGUGAAAUGCUUAGAGAUUACAUGGAAUACCAAUUGCGAAGGCAGGUUACUACUAAUGGAUUGACGCUGAUGGA
rnacentral:rRNA from 1 species